AACGAACGCUGGCGGCAUGCCUAACACAUGCAAGUCGAACGAGACCUUCGGGUCUAGUGGCGCACGUGUGCGUAACGCGUGGGAACCUGCCCUUAGGUUCGGAAUAACUCCCCGAAAGGGGUGCUAAUACCGGAUAAUGUCUUCGGACCAAAGAUUUAUCGCCUUUGGAUGGGCCCGCGUUGGAUUAGCUAGUUGGUAGGGUAAAAGCCUACCAAGGCGACGAUCCAUAGCUGGUCUGAGAGGAUGAUAAGCCACACUGGGACUGCGACACGGCCCAGACUCCUACGGGAGGCAGCAGUGGGGAAUAUUGGACAAUGGGCGAAAGCCUGAUCAAGCAAUGCCGCGUGAGUGAUGAAGGCCUUAGGGUUGUAAAGCUCUUUUACCCGGGAUGAUAAUGACAGUACCGGGAGAAUAAGCUCCGGCUAACUACGUG
rnacentral:rRNA from 1 species